rnacentral:rRNA from 1 species
UGAGUAACAUAUCGGAACGUACCCGAGCAGUGGGGGAUAACUAAUCGAAAGAUUAGCUAAUACCGCAUAUAUUCUGAGGAAGAAAGCAGGGGACCAUUUGGCCAUGCGCUGUUUGAGCGGCCGAUAUCUGAUUAGCUAGUUGGUGGGGUAAAGGCCUACCAAGGCGACGAUCAGUAGCGGGUCUGAGAGGAUGAUCCGCCACACUGGGACUGAGACACGGCCCAGACUCCUACGGGAGGCAGCAGUGGGGAAUUUUGGACAAUGGGCGCAAGCCUGAUCCAGCCAUGCCGCGUGUCUGAAGAAGGCCUUCGGGUUGUAAAGGACUUUUGUCAGGGAAGAAAAGGACAGGGUUAAUACCCCUGUCUGA